ensembl:lncRNA
GACAAAGACUGGGACAGAAGAGAACGUGCAGGAACCAACAGGAUGAGCUCAUGCCCUCUCCUGGCACUGCACACUUGGUGUGACUCAUACCAAGCAGGUGUGUCUGCAUGUGUGUUUACAUCUGCCGAUCAGCUCAGGGUGUGUCCUCACAUUAUCGUGCCGGUGAACAUGUUUUUUCAAGCACAGAACACAAAUUUAGAAAAACAGCAGACCAACAGAGGGUAUGAUGUAAGGAUUACCAGUUUAGAAACCCCUGACUACUAUGUACUUCCUUGAAAGUAACCGCAUCCUCCCCGAGAGCAGCAGUAUGAGAGAGAGUUUUUUUUUGGGAGUGGGCCCCUGCUAAAAGUCUCCUGUUCCCCUCCCUGCUUUUGCCUCAAAGUGAUGGAUGUGGUUGGUGGAGACAGCACAUAACCUGCAGACAGCCGCCAGCUCCUUAGAAGGAAACUCCAUCUGCGUCCGUGGUCGCUGAGUGUCAGCAAGCAGCACGUAUACAUAUGCGUUGAGAGAAAGUUUGAUAACGGCACAAGAAUCCAAAGUCUGCUGUUCAUGAAGUGAGUAAAUUUGCUGCUCAGAUUCAUCCCAUGGGAAAACGAAAAAGUAAUUGUACGACUCUUCGCGGAUCACCAGCACCGAUGUGUUGAAAGCCCAAGUCACGUAUACGGACUUCAGUGCAUCUCUCAGCACAAGAUCAACCAUGAUGAAAUUCCUGUUGGCUAACACUGUGAUAAUUCCAUGUUUUACACACCUCGAUAGAACUCAUUUAUUUAACAUCAAUAUGAAAAAUGCAUGCUUUCUAUUGUAUUAUAAUGGUACAACAGAAAAAGAAGCAAACAAAAGGGUGCACACACCACUGCUAAACCUUCUCAUGUGCAAAAUGGGAUGUUUCUCUUUGAUGUUCAAAACACUGAAAAAGGUGUACAUGCUAAAGUAACUGCAACAAACCUUCUGUAUAAAUUCUUGUAAAAAGCUACUUCAGGACUGACAGGACGACCGGAAAUAGAGAUUAACUUAACUUUUUCUAACAUUUCCUGUAGAUAAUCUGGACCAUUGUUCUCGCUUUUUCGGCAUAACCUG